UGAAAUUCUCACCCUCCUCCUUUUGUUGCUUGUGUUCGUGCGAAAGAGUGAGAGAUUAUCACGAUUGUGGUUGCUGAGAGCUUAGACUCUUACCAAAUAUUAGGGUUCAUCCAUUCCUCCUUAAGAAACUCUUGAAGCUCAGCACUGUUAUCCAAGUUUUGCAUGAUCUGUGCACAUAACCUCAUGGUCAAAUACUAAGGUCCAUUCCAAAUUACAACUAUCAAGAUUCCAACAGUUUAGCAGGGAGUUAGAAUUGUUUAUCAAUCAAAACUUUGAAGAACAAAUUAUAGAUGGAUAGCAAUUCGGAGAAAAGGAAACAUAAGGCAAUGAAAAAGAGUACUUGCCUUAGUAUGACUAGUAAAAAAGAUAAGAGUUCCCAGAAUUCCUCAACAGAAAAGAUUAGAAAUAGUUCAUCCUCAAAUCAAGAACCUAUUGUUCUGCGUCUCAUUGGUGAGCUAGAGACAGUGAUAUUGGCUAGAUUUCCUAUAUCAGAACACUGGAAGUUGGGCUGUCUAAACAAGCAAUUUCAGGCACAACUCAAGAGUGGUGAUAUCUAUGAAAUUAGAAGACAGGAUAGGGUUCACAGAACCAUGUGUCUUUAUGUUAGAAACUCAUCGAAGGAAAUUGGUGUGCACUUGGUCGCCAUUUCAAGUCCUGCAGGAAGCUCCCUUUUAU